GAUGAACGCUGGCGGCGUGCCUAAUACAUGCAAGUUGAGCGCUGAAGGUUGGUACUUGUACCAACUGGAUGAGCAGCGAACGGGUGAGUAACGCGUGGGGAAUCUGCCUUUGAGCGGGGGACAACAUUUGGAAACGAAUGCUAAUACCGCAUAAAAACUUUAAACACAAGUUUUAAGUUUGAAAGAUGCAAUUGCAUCACUCAAAGAUGAUCCCGCGUUGUAUUAGCUAGUUGGUGAGGUAAAGGCUCACCAAGGCGAUGAUACAUAGCCGACCUGAGAGGGUGAUCGGCCAAAUUGGGACUGAGACACGGCCCAAACUCCUACGGGAGGCAGCAGUAGGGAAUCUUCGGCAAUGGACGAAAGUCUGACCGAGCAACGCCGCGUGAGUGAAGAAGGUUUUCGGAUCGUAAAACUCUGUUGGUAGAGAAGAACGUUGGUGAGAGUGGAAAGCUCAUCAAGUGACGGUAACUACCCAGAAAGGGACGGCUAACUACGUG
rnacentral:rRNA from 1 species